CCAGUUUGUGCUGCCUGGCACUCUUGGAUGCGUGGUUUUAGACUAUAGCAUGAUUGACAUACCAGGGGCCACACCCUCAGUCAUGAUACGCAUCAACUGAUGAGAGGAUGACCAAACUGUUGUGCAUUUACACAAAGGAAUAUUAUUCAUGUGUUAAGAAAAAUGACAUUGUGAGAACUGCAGGCAAAUGGAUAGAAUUGGAAACAAUCAUUCUCAGAGAGAAGCUCCGGACUGGUGGGCAGAGAGGAAUGUGAAUGACUCCAAGAGCCUUUAGUGGGAGUGAGGAUGCCAGUCACUCUCUCAAGAGCAAAGACUUCUAUAAACAUCAGGCACAUUGGCCAGAGAUUGAGGGUGGAUAGAGAAGACAGAAAGCUCCUUGAGUUGGUUGGAGAAGAGUGAGACAUCUGCACUUGAUCUCAUCGAGCGCUGUUUUCCUGGUUUUCGAUAUUACCCAGCGAUCUGUUUGGAGAGUAACCUGCACAAGAUGAGACAGGGUGGUUGCACUAGCUUCAUGUAUGGUCUUUUGAAUUUAAAUUUUGUUUUGCUUUGAGAAUCCUAUUAAUGAGUACUGUAUUGAGAUAGUUUUUAUUCCUUCCUCUCCCCAACUGCUCCCAUGCCCCUCCCUCUCCCUCUCAAAUUCAUGACCUCUUCUUUAAUAUAUAUUAAAUCUAUCUAUCUAUCUAUCUAUCUAUCUAUCUAUCUAUCUAUCUACUGAGUCCACUUAGUGUUCAUGUGCACAUGUGUAAAAGGGUUCUUGUCUCUGGAAAAUAGGAACUGGUUCUCCUUCUCUCAGCUGUCAUUGAUUAUCUAUAGCUCUUCAUCUAGGAAUAGAACCUUGUGAAAUAACCCCUACCCAUGUCAACUGAUAGUGUCAUUAUGCAGGUCUUGUUUAGGUAACCUUAUUAUUGAGAUUUCAUGGCCACUUUCCUGUCAUGUCUACAAGAUAUAUCAGCUUAACAGGAGGCAUCCUGGUCCUCUGGCCCUUACAGUCUCUUAGCAUCUCUUCUAGAAUGGUCCACAAGCUUUCAGUGUAGGGCUUGUUGUACUCAUUUAGAUGUAUGAGUUGAGGCUGGGCAACCUAUAGGCACCUGAAAUUUUGAUCAGCGGUGAAUCUUGUAGUAAUUAUAUAUAUGUAAAAAGGAAGUUUCUUUGAUGAGGGAUGAGAGGUAGAUUUAUUUGUGAACAUAAGAAUAAGUACUUAAAAUACAGCUCAAAAUUUUAUUAGUUUAGGAAAAUGACAGCAGUCAACCAGAGACAUGAGUUAUUCAGCCAAGGAUAUUUGGGUACAUUUUCAUACAAAUUCCUUCUUACUGAGAAGACUUGAGUCUAAUUAGACAGCUGUUGGUUAGCCUUAAGAUAAAAGUAUCACUGUUAGCUCUGAAUACCCAAGGUACAAUUAGCGUAAUAAAUGACUCCCAUGAAGAAGUAAGGAGAGGGUCCUGAUGCUAGAAAGGCUUGAUCUAGCAUUGGAGGGGGGUAUCAGGACAGAGAAAAAGGAGAGAGGUGAUUGGAGAAUGGGUGGAGAGAA